rnacentral:guide_RNA from 1 species
AUAAAAUAAACGAUUACCUGUGAAUGAUAGAUUAUGAUGAUUUAUUAA